ACAGGUUAGUUCAGUUGUUAGGGUGUUUGACUCCCAGACAAAUGGUACUGGGUUCGAACCCCACAGCCUAACCUGUA